GUCUGACUGUCUUGUGCUGGUGUGUUACAGGUGUUUGUCAAGGAGGUUCAUGUCACCAAGGGUUCAGAUACGUUGUUGUAGAGAGGGUCUGACUGUCUUGUUGCUGGUGUGUUACAGGUGUUUGUCAAGGUGGUUCAUGUCACCAAGGGUUCAGAUACGUUGUUGUAGAGAGGGUCUGACU